UGAGGAAUAUUGGUCAAUGGGCGAGAGCCUGAACCAGCCAAGUCGCGUGAAGGAAGAAGGAUCUAUGGUUCGUAAACUUCUUUUGCAGGGGAAUAAAGUGCAGGACGUGUCCUGUUUUGUAUGUACCCUGAGAAUAAGGAUCGGCUAACUCCGUGCCAGCAGCCGCGGUAAUACGGAGGAUCCGAGCGUUAUCCGGAUUUAUUGGGUGUAAAGGGUGCUCAGGCGGAUUUGUAAGUCAGAGGUGAAAUCUUACAGCUUAACUGUGAAACUGCCUUUGAUACUGCAAGCCUAGAGUAUGGAAGAGAGUGAUGGAAUAUCUGGUGUAGCAGUGAAAUGCGUAGAUAUCAGAUAGAACACCUAUGUCGAAGGCAGUCACUUGGUCCAUUACUGACGCUAAAGCACGAAAGCGUGGGUAGCAAACA
rnacentral:rRNA from 1 species